rnacentral:rRNA from 1 species
AUGAAUCUAUUGUGCUGGACAUGUCGUGGUGCUGUCAAAGCUGCGAUAAUUCAAGAGCUUCAUGACCUCGUGAGACAAUAUGCCUCUGUUGUAUUGUGCAUAGUUGAAACCCAAAUCUCUAAGCCCAGGGUUGAAUACUUAUCUAGUACAUUAGGCUUUGAUAAUUCGUAUGCUAUCAGUAGUAAUGGAAGGAGCGGAGGGCUCGGUCUCUUUUGGAACAAUUCAAUAAACUUGAUGUAUCUGGUUGCUCGGAGUAUCACUAGAAGCUAG